AGUGAGAAUGCCGGAAUGAGUAGCGAGAAUUAUGUGAGAAUCAUAAUGGCCGAAAAUCUAAGGUUUCCUGAGGAAGGUUCGUCCGCUCAGGGUAAGCCGGGGGCUAAGGCGAGGCGGAGACGCGUAGCCGAUGCACAUACGGUUGAAAUUCCGUAGCCACCGAAAGAUUUAAGUACAGGGACGCUUUAGAAGUGAUGUAGCCGGGCGAUGGUUGACCCGGUCGUAAGGGAUCGAAAAUGAGUAGAGAAGUCAUCAUGGAAAGAGACAAGAAAAGCUGUAUGAAUAUCUUAGGUGCCCGUACCGCAAACCGACACAGGUAGAUAGGAAGAAGAUUCUAAGGCCAACGGGAGAAGGGUUGUUAAGGAACUCGGCAAGUUGACCCCGUAACUUAGGGAUAAGGGGUGCUCAAGUGAUUGAGCCGCAGAGAAUAGGUCCAGGCGACUGUUUAGCAAAAACACAGGUCUCUGCUAAAUCGAAAGAUGACGUAUAGGGGCUGACACCUGCCCGGUGCCGGAAGGUUAAGAGGAGAUGUGAGAGCAUUGAAUUGAAGCCCCGGUAAACGGCGGCCGUAACUAUAACGGUCCUAAGGUAGCGAAAUUCCUUGUCAGGUAAGUUCUGACCCGCACGAAAGGUGUAACGAUCUGGGCACUGUCUCAACAACCCGCCCGGCGAAAUUGUAGUACCGGUGAAGAUGCCGGUUACCCGCGACUAGACGGAAAGACCCCAUGGAGCUUUACUGUAGCCUAAUAUUGGAUUUCGGUAUUUCACGUACAGGAUAGGUGGGAGACUGGGAAGCACAGGCGUCAGCUUGUGUGGAGUCGACCUUGGGAUACCACUCUUGGAGUGCUGGAAUUCUAACCUGCGGCUUUGAAGCAAGUCGGGGGACAUUGUUAGGUGGGCAGUUUGACUGGGGCGGUCGCCUCCUAAAGAGUAACGGAGGCGCUCAAAGGUUCGCUCUGCAUGGAUGGAAACCAUGCGUCAGAGUGUAAACGCAAAAGCGAGCCUAACUGCGAGAAUGACGGUUCGAGCAGUAACGAAAGUUGGAGUUAGUGAUCCGGCGGUAUGUGAAUGGAAAUGCCGUCGCUCAACGGAUAAAAGCUACCCUGGGGAUAACAGGCUGAUCUCCCCCAAGAGUCCACAUCGACGGGGAGGUUUGGCACCUCGAUGUCGGCUCAUCGCAUCCUGGGGCUGAAUUCGGUCCCAAGGGUUUGGCUGUUCGCCAAUUAAAGCGGUACGCGAGCUGGGUUCAGAACGUCGUGAGACAGUUCGGUCCCUAUCUGUCGUGGGCGUAGGAUAUUUGCAAGGAGCUGUCCCUAGUACGAGAGGACCGGGAUGGACGCACCUCUGGUGCACCAGUUGUCACGCCAGUGGCACAGCUGGGCAGCUAUGUGCGGAACGGAUAAACGCUGAAAGCAUCUAAGCGUGAAGCCGCCCUUAAGAUAAGAUCUCCUUUAAGACCCCUUGUAGACUACGAGGUUGAUAGGUCUGAUGUGUAAGCACGGUGACGUGUUUAGCUUGCAGAUACUAAUCGGUCGUUCGCUUUUCCUU
rnacentral:rRNA from 1 species